CACCUCGAUGUCGGCUCAUCACAUCCUGGGGCUGUAGUAGGUCCCAAGGGUUGGGCUGUUCGCCCAUUAAAGUGGUACGCGAGCUGGGUUCAGAACGUCGUGAGACAGUUCGGUCCCUAUCCGUCGCAGGCGUAGGAAAUUUGAGAAGACCUGUCCUUAGUACGAGAGGACCGGGAUGGACGUACCUCUGGUGUACCAGUUGUUCUGCCAAGGGCAUGGCUGGGUAGCUAUGUACGGAAUGGAUAAGCGCUGAAAGCAUCUAAGCGCGAAGCCAACUUCAAGAUAAGAUUUCCCACCGCAAGGGUAAGACCCCAGAAAGACUAUCUGGUUGAUAGGUCGAAGGUGUAAGUGCAGCAAUGUAUUUAGCUUAUCGAUACUAAUAGGUCGAGGACUUGACCAAU
rnacentral:rRNA from 1 species